UACGUAGGGUGCGAGCGUUGUCCGGAAUUAUUGGGCGUAAAGAGCGUGUAGGCGGCCAGACAGGUCCGUUGUGAAAACUCGAGGCUCAACCUCGAGACGCCGAUGGAAACCGUCUGGCUAGAGUCCGGAAGAGGAGAGUGGAAUUCCCGGUGUAGCGGUGAAAUGCGCAGAUAUCGGGAAGAACACCCGUGGCUAAGGCGGCUCUCUGGGCCGAUACUGACGCUGAGGAGCGAAAGCGUGGGGAGCGAACAGG
rnacentral:rRNA from 1 species